rnacentral:tRNA from 1 species
UGACUCAGUUGGUAGAGCAUGGUGUUUGCAAUGCCAGGGUUGUGGGUUCAAUUCCCAC